rnacentral:tRNA from 1 species
AACGUUUUCCCCCUUUUCUGGUUUACAAGACCAGGGUAAUGUGCGACGCACACCAACCCUGGUCUU